rnacentral:tRNA from 1 species
GCGCCACUAGCUCAGUUGGUAGAGCACUCCCCUUUUAAGGGAUAGGUCCCGCGUUCGAAUCGCGGGUGGCGUA